rnacentral:tRNA from 1 species
UCCCAGGUAGCUUAGCUGGUAAAGAAUCUGCCUACAAUGCAGGAAACCCCUGUUCGAUUCCUGGGAU